rnacentral:rRNA from 1 species
AUACGGAGGGUGCAAGCGUUAUUCGGAAUCACUGGACGUAAAGGACGCGUAGGCGGGUUGGCAAGUCAGAUGUGAAAUCCUACAGCUUAACUGUAGAACUACAUUUGAAACUGCUAACCUAGAGUAUGGGAGGGGGAGAUGGAAUUAGUGGUGUAGGGGUAAAAUCCGUAGAUAUCACUAGGAAUACCGAAAGCGAAGGCGAUCUCCUGGAACAUAACUGACGCUAAGGCGUGAAAGCGUGGGGAGCAAACAGGAUUAGAAACCCUAGUAGUCC